rnacentral:lncRNA from 1 species
GGGCAUUAAGAGGCCCGCCUACAAAAAUCUGUUUUCCCAUAUAGCCCUCUUAUUCGCCCGUCCACAAAAAUACCAUUAUUUUUUUAGGUAGUCAUCUUAUUGGUCCAAUUGCAAUAAUAAAUUUUCACAGACCGGUCGUGUCCUUCUCUUGUGACUGAGUAUAUCGCGGAGAGUCUAUCUAAUGAUCCUCCUGCAAUUUGGAGAGAAUCGUCCAUAAAUAUUAUUUUUGCAUUCUGAUCGCUCUACCAGGAACACAGAUAAUGAUAAUAGAGAAUCUGCUUUCUGCAAACUUGCCUUCUUCAAUGAGAACGUCAUGAAUGGCUUGUUUUACCUAGCUAUAAAAUGCUAGGUGCAGUGACAGAAGAAUCCCAACUGUUUCGAUCGAUUCAUCUAAUCAACCAUUAAUCUGUGCAGGAUAGGUAGGAGCUGCAUAGACACAACAGAAGUUUUUGAGAUGGAAGGCAUCAGGACUGUGCACUACACCUUGUUUUGAAGUUCGAUACAGGUCAGUGUACCUCAAUGCUUGGUUCAGUCUGGUGCCAUUGACAGUCACAGAGAGUCUGAGCACACGGCGCCAGCGUCCAGAUACAUCGAUGUCCUUGGCGCC